CGGAGGAUCCAAGCGUUAUCCGGAAUCAUUGGGUUUAAAGGGUCCGUAGGCGGGUUUAUAAGUCAGUGGUGAAAGCCCAUCGCUCAACGAUGGAACGGCCAUUGAUACUGUAGAUCUUGAAUUAUUAGGAAGUAACUAGAAUAUGUAGUGUAGCGGUGAAAUGCUUAGAGAUUACAUGGAAUGCCAAUUGCGAAGGCAGGUUACUACUAAUGGAUUGACGCUGAUGGACGAAAGCGUGGGUAGCGAACAGGAUUAGAUACCCUGGUAGUCCACGCCGUAAACGAUGGAUACUAGCUGUUCGGAGCAAUCUGAGUGGCUAAGCGAAAGUGAUAAGUAUCCCACCUGGGGAGUACGUUCGCAAGAAUG
rnacentral:rRNA from 1 species